UACAGAGGUCCCGAGCGUUGUUCGGAUUUACUGGGCGUAAAGGGUGCGUAGGCGGUGGGGUAAGUUUGAGGUGAAAGCUCCGGGCUCAACCCGGAAAAUGCCUUGAAAACUAUCCGGCUAGAGGGUUGGAGGGGAGACUGGAAUUCUCGGUGUAGCAGUGAAAUGCGUAGAUCUCGAGAGGAACACCAGUGGCGAAGGCGGGUCUCUGGACAACACCUGACGCUGAGGUACGAAAGCCAGGGGAGCAAACGGG
rnacentral:rRNA from 1 species